AUGCAGGUUACAGUUACAAUGUAGCUGAAAUGUUUCAUUGUCAUUGUCCCUGCUUAAAGCAUUUGAUACAUUACUAUCUCUGCCUAGCUCUACCACAGUAAGGCAGAGACACUUGGUUUCUAACAU